AUUGAACGCUGGCGGCAGGCCUAACACAUGCAAGUCGAGCGGAUGAAGGGAGCUUGCUCCUGGAUUCAGCGGCGGACGGGUGAGUAAUGCCUAGGAAUCUGCCUGGUAGUGGGGGAUAACGUCCGGAAACGGGCGCUAAUACCGCAUACGUCCUGAGGGAGAAAGUGGGGGAUCUUCGGACCUCACGCUAUCAGAUGAGCCUAGGUCGGAUUAGCUAGUCGGUGGGGUAAAGGCCUACCAAGGCGACGAUCCGUAACUGGUCUGAGAGGAUGAUCAGUCACACUGGAACUGAGACACGGUCCAGACUCCUACGGGAGGCAGCAGUGGGGAAUAUUGGACAAUGGGCGAAAGCCUGAUCCAGCCACGCCGCGUGUGUGAAGAAGGUCUUCGGAUUGUAAAGCACUUUAAGUUGGGAGGAAGGGCAGUAAGUUAAUACCUUGCUGUUUUGACGUUACCAACAGAAUAAGCACCGGCUAACUUCGUG
rnacentral:rRNA from 1 species